UACGUAGGGGGCAAGCGUUGUCCGGAUUUAUUGGGCGUAAAGAGCGUGUAGGCGGCCUGAAAGGUCAGCUGUGAAAGCCCGGGGCUCAACUCCGGAAUUGCCUUUAAGACUGCAUCGCUCGAAUUGUGGAGAGGUAAGUGGAAUUCCGAGUGUAGAGGUGAAAUUCGUAGAUAUUCGGAAGAACACCAGUGGCGAAGGCGACUUACUGGACACAUAUUGACGCUGAGGUGCGAAAGCGUGGGGAGCAAACAGG
rnacentral:rRNA from 1 species